AUUGAACGCUGGCGGCAUGCUUUACACAUGCAAGUCGGACGGCAGCACAGAGAAGCUUGCUUCUUGGGUGGCGAGUGGCGAACGGGUGAGUAACAUAUCGGAACGUACCGGGCAGUGGGGGAUAACUAAUCGAAAGAUUAGCUAAUACCGCAUAUCUUCUGAGGAAGAAAGCAGGGGACCAUUUGGCCUUGCGCUGUUUGAGCGGCCGAUAUCUGAUUAGCUAGUUGGUGGGGUAAAGGCCUACCAAGGCGACGAUCAGUAGCGGGUCUGAGAGGAUGAUCCGCCACACUGGGACUGAGACACGGCCCAGACUCCUACGGGAGGCAGCAGUGGGGAAUUUGGACAAUGGGCGCAAGCCCUGAUCCAGCCAUGCCCGCGUGUCUGAAAGAAGGGCCCUUUCGGGUUGUAAAAGG
rnacentral:rRNA from 1 species